rnacentral:miRNA from 1 species
AGGCUGGGAGGGGUGUCAGUGCU